GUCAAAAGGGAAACCGCGAACGUGCGCCUGCGGCGGUUUCGUCAUUCAGGAUUUGAGGGAAAACAAGAGGAACCUGGAAAAAGACAACAAAUAACUGCAGCUGCGAUGGACGGCUCCCAGUCGGUUCUCACCCACAGUUCAGAUCGACCGGGACGUGUCUGCUCAGAGGCCACAAUGACUCCUCUGCGGUUUGCAUGGAGUCAACUGUUGUUCUAUGAGAAGGACCACCAGCAGGCUUUGCAUCUUUCUGGACCCCUUUUGUCUGAUGUGUUGGAGAUCAUUUGCAUAUUGAAAACAGUUGCAGAUCAGUCUCUGCUAUCGUGGGAAAGUAGAAAAGGGAAAAUUGACAAAAUGUGAGAUAAUCAGGGGUUAAAGCUGAUUGAUGCAGACCUCUUUGUACUCACUGCAUUUAUUUGUCUGAUAUGCAAAAAAUAUAUGUUUUUCUUCUUUUUAAAAUAAAUGUAGUUCUCUGCAAACUCCAGAGUGUCUAUAGCUUCUCAUUCUAAAUCUUAGUGUCAAGAUGAACUCAGCGGGUUAU